rnacentral:rRNA from 1 species
UACGUAGGGGGCAAGCGUUGUCCGGAAUCAUUGGGCGUAAAGAGCGUGUAGGCGGUCCGGCAAGUCGGUUGUGAAAGUCCAGGGCUCAACCCUGGGAUGCCGACCGAUACUGUCGGACUAGAGUUCGGAAGAGGCGAGUGGAAUUCCCGGUGUAGCGGUGAAAUGCGCAGAUAUCGGGAGGAACACCUAUGGCGAAGGCAGCUCGCUGGGACGUUACUGACGCUGAGACGCGAAAGCGUGGGGAGCAAACAGG